CUGAAACUCAUCCAGUAUGCCCUUCUAUUUCCAGGUCCUGUAGCCUCUGAAAGUCUUACCUCAGUGACUGCUCAUGGUGCCAACCUCUUGGGUCAAGAGUCCUGUUGUUGCAGGAUCUCAAAGCUUCAGGCCUUGAAGGGGCAGAGAGAAACAAACUAAAUCACACUUCGUUUAAAAAAACAAGCGAAUAGGACCUUCUUCAGAGAUCCCCUCCCACUACUGCGGCUCUUCUGUGUUCAGGAGGGUUAGGAGGGUAUGUAUACUGUGUUUGGAAAUAAUUUUCUCU
rnacentral:lncRNA from 1 species